rnacentral:rRNA from 1 species
UUCCGUAGGUGAACCUGCGGAAGGAUCAUUGUCGAAGCGACCGUGGCAACCUCGUCCGUAAACCGAACCCCGGCGCGGAAUGUGCCAAGGAACUGAAACCAAAGAGCGUCGCCGGCCGCCUCGGACACGAUGUGUGUGCCGGCGUCGACGUCUUGUAUUUAUCCAAAACGACUCUCGGCAACGGAUAUCUCGGCUCUCGCAUCGAUGAAGAACGUAGCGAAAUGCGAUACUUGGUGUGAAUUGCAGAAUCCCGUGAAUCAUCGAGUCUUUGAACGCAAGUUGCGCCCGACGCCAUUCGGCCGAGGGCACGUCUGCCUGGGUGUCACGCACCGUUGCCCCCAAACGCCCCCGCCUCGCAAGGGGCGCGGGAUCUCGUUUGGUGGCGGAAGUUGGCCUCCCGUGGGCCUGUGCUCGCGGUUAGCCUAAAAAGGAGUCCUCGGCGACGAGCGCCACGACAAUCGGUGGUUGAUUAGACCUCGGUCCCCGUCGUGCGUGUCUGGUCGCCACAAGGUGUGACUCGUCGACCCUAACGCGUCGUACCCACGUCGCUCCCAACGCGACCCCAGGUCAGGCGGGACUACCCGCUGAG